rnacentral:rRNA from 1 species
AAGGUGUGGGGAAUACGUAGGCGAGUUACCGUUAUCCGCAUCAUCUAGAUGAUGGGAUGCAGGCUCAUGUUCCUGAGCGCGAAUCGAUAGCUAGUGUGAGGUAAGCCACCAGCACGAUCAGUAGCUGUCUGAGAGGACGACAGCACACUGACUGAGACACGUCAGACUCUACGGGAGGCAGCAGUGGGGAAUUUUGACAUGGCGCAAGCCUGAUCCAGCAAUGCCGCGUGAGUGAAGAAGGCCUUCGGGUUGUAAAGCUCUUUGUCAGGGAAGAAACGGUAGAGGCUAAUAUCCUUUGCUAAUGACGGUACCUGAAGAAUAAGCACCGGCUAACUACGUGCCGGCAGCCGCGGUAAUACGUAGGGUGCAAGCGUUAAUCGGAAUUACUGGGCGUAAAGCGUGCGCAGGCGGUUUUGUAAGUCUGUCGUGAAAGCCCCGGGCUCAACCUGGGAAUUGCGAUGGAGACUGCAAGGCUUGAAUCUGGCAGAGGGGGGUAGAAUUCCACGUGUAGCAGUGAAAUGCGUAGAGAUGUGGAGGAACACCGAUGGCGAAGGCAGCCCCCUGGGUCAAGAUUGACGCUCAUGCACGAAAGCGUGGGGAGCAAACAGGAUUAGAUACCCUGGUAGUCCACGCCCUAAACGAUGUCUACUAGUUGUCGGGUUUUAAAUAACUUGGUAACGCAGCUAACGCGUGAAGUAGACCGCCUGGGGAGUACGGUCGCAAGAUUAAAACUCAAAGGAAUUGACGGGGACCCGCACAAGCGGUGGAUGAUGUGGAUUAAUUCGAUGCAACGCGAAAAACCUUACCUACCCUUGACAUGUCAGGAAGGCCGGAGAGAUCUGGCUGUGCCCGAAAGGGAACCUGAACACAGGUGCUGCAUGGCUGUCGUCAGCUCGUGUCGUGAGAUGUUGGGUUAAGUCCCGCAACGAGCGCAACCCUUGUCAUUAGUUGCUACAUUUAGUUGAGCACUCUAAUGAGACUGCCGGUGACAAACCGGAGGAAGGUGGGGAUGACGUCAAGUCCUCAUGGCCCUUAUGGGUAGGGCUUCACACGUCAUACAAUGGUACAUACAGAGGGCCGCCAACCCGCGAGGGGGAGCUAAUCCCAGAAAGUGUAUCGUAGUCCGGAUCGCAGUCUGCAACUCGACUGCGUGAAGUUGGAAUCGCUAGUAAUCGCGGAUCAGCAUUCGCGAAUGCAA